CCUACGGGUGGCAGCAGUAGGGAAUCUUGCUCAAUGGAGGAAACCCUGAAGCAGCAACGCCGCGUGAAGGAUGAAGGUUUUAGGAUUGUAAACUCCUUUUGUGAGAGAAGAUAAUGACGGUAUCUCACAAAUAAGCACCGGCUAACUCCGUGCCAGCAGCCGCGGUAAUACGGAGGGUGCAAGCGUUACUCGGAAUCACUGGGCGUAAAGGGUGCGCAGGCGGGCUUGUAGGGCAGAUGUGAAAGCCAGUAGCUUAACUAAAGAACUGCAUUUGAAACUAUGAGUCUAGAGUGUGGGAGAGGUAGGUGGAAUUCUUGGUGUAGGGGUAAAAUGCGUAGAUAUAAAGAGGAAUACUCAUUGCGAAGGCGACCUACUGGAACAUUACUGACGCUGAUGCACGAAAGCGUGGGGAGCAAACAGGAUUAGAUACCCGUGUAGUC
rnacentral:rRNA from 1 species